GCGGCAGUAGCUCAGCGGUAGAGCCACCGCUUCGCACGCCGGGAGACCUGGGUUCGAUUCCCGGCUGCUUCC
rfam:Toxocara canis scaffold175, whole genome shotgun sequence.